rnacentral:rRNA from 1 species
AUUGAACGCUGGCGGCAGGCCUAACACAUGCAAGUCGAGCGGAUGAAGGGAGCUUGCUCCUGGAUUCAGCGGCGGACGGGUGAGUAAUGCCUAGGAAUCUGCCUGGUAGUGGGGGAUAACGUCCGGAAACGGGCGCUAAUACCGCAUACGUCCUGAGGGAGAAAGUGGGGGAUCUUCGGACCUCACGCUAUCAGAUGAGCCUAGGUCGGAUUAGCUAGUUGGUGGGGUAAAGGCCUACCAAGGCGACGAUCCGUAACUGGUCUGAGAGGAUGAUCAGUCACACUGGAACUGAGACACGGUCCAGACUCCUACGGGAGGCAGCAGUGGGGAAUAUUGGACAAUGGGCGAAAGCCUGAUCCAGCCAUGCCGCGUGUGUGAAGAAGGUCUUCGGAUUGUAAAGCACUUUAAGUUGGGAGGAAUGGCAGUAAGUUAAUACCUUGCUGUUUUGACGUUACCAACAGAAUAAGCACCGGCUAACUUCGUG